rnacentral:rRNA from 1 species
GACAGAGGUGCCGAGCGUUAGGCGGAAUCACUGGGCUUAAAGCGUGUGUAGGCGGAAUGUUAAGUACCUUGUGAAAUCCCACGGCUCAACCGUGGAACUGCUCGGUAUACUGCUUUUCUUGAGCCACUUAGGGGCUGUCGGAACAAACGGUGGAGCGGUGAAAUGCGUAGAGAUCCGGAGGAACACCGACGGCGUAGGCAGCGCCCUAGACGAGAACUGACGCUCAGGCACGAAAGCGCGGGGAGCGAACAGG